UUGAAAGGGAUCUUUGCAAACACAAUCACGUUCUUAAAUGGAAAUGUGGGGCUUUAAACAAAUCUUACAUCUCUCCUGUUCCAGUCGUCUAAAACUCCGCAAUCAGGCACACGUUCGACUCCAUCUAAAACCACAGCUUUUUUAGAAGAUUUUUUUGGUAUCACUUCUAUUUAAAUUAUUUACCUCAGUGUAUUUUUUUUAGUUCACGUUCGUGUUUGUGUGUUUGUCUUGCUCUUAUGGGGUGUUUCCACAGGCUUUUGCGAGGAAAUGUGCCGGAGAAUUCAGGCGUCAAACCAAAACGCUUCUCAGUGACAUGCGUAAUGGGUACGCGCGCUUCCUGGGUAGCCACGAAUUUACAGAGGCAUCCUGCGCUUUUUCAGGCUCAAAGGGGCCUGAAAGGACCGAGCGACUUGCUUUAGAGACAUCUGAGGAAUCCAUUGAAAAAGCCAAUAACGGGAUCAAGGGGCAUUUGGCUCUGUACUGGGGACGGUGAUGGCAAAGAGCGGAGUGACCAGACCAGCUCCAGCCCAAAAGGGGUCACGACCAGACGCCAAGUGCUCCUGUCUCGAUGUCGUCUGUGGUCAAGCACUCGCCGGGAGUGGCAUGUGCAGGAUGUGGACUGGAGCAGGUGUGGAGCCUGUAGGUCCCUUUUGCACCACAUGUACUCAGGUAAUGCCAUGGGGCAUGAUGUUGCCAAAAGUGUCACAUUCCAACAUUUUACUCUCUCUCUCUCUCUCAAUCACAAACACAUUGAACCAUCUGCUUGUUCAGUAUUUUCUUUAUUUUUUUAAUGAUAAUUUAUUCAAACAUUAUUCAAAUAAUAAAAUAUUAUUAUAAAUAUUAAAUAUG